CGGCCUUCACUUCCGGAACAAAUGAAGGUCGUAUUCCAUAACACGUCGACGAGAAAAAAAGAGGAAAGGAUGAUUACGUUGGGGUUUAUAUUUGUUUGUUAAAGGGGGUGUUACCCGUAUUGUUUGUGAUUAUGCCGGUGAUUAUGGAAUGUAUACCGAGGUUGCACUUGAGGUAAAGCUUAAAGAUGGGAUUCCGAAAUAUCGUGUGUAUAGCAGAUUAAAUGAAUGCAGAUUCUCAGAAUGGCUACUGUCAAACUUAGUAUUCAGGACAAGAAGGACUUGGAUAAAUUCACCAAAUUUCUGGCGCUGAAAGCUGCUCAGAUAAUUGUACAAUCAAGGCUUGGAGAGAAAGUUCAAACUAAGUGUAAACCACAUUCUUCUGGCACAGACUGGAACCAGUUAUCAGUUCCCAGUCACAAUGGAUAAAUUCAAGUAUAGAAAUCAGAAAUAAUAGUUAGCAACAGAUCAUUUGAAGAACAUCUUCUGAAGACCAGGCCGCGCAAUAAAAUACCAUCUGCCUAGAAGUCACAGGAAGACUGUGAAUGUUCAGAAUGCACACAUUUUCUAAAUGUGUUGUUUCAGAUUUUGUCUACUUUUAUGGUUAUGGUGUCCAGUAAUUGCACGUACAAAUAAUUAGUGUACUAAUAAAAAUCUGCUGUUGCAAAACUAUUCAUGCUACAUGUAUAAUGCUAAACAGAAUUAGAUAUUUUUUCUCUAUGGAGUUCUGUUUUCUGGGAUAUAAUGCUGUGUAGUCCAGUGAAAGUUAAUUGAUAU